UUAGCCCGGAAUAAAUAUGUUUUAGAAAACUUAAUUGGCCAGACUGUCCGCCCCUAUACCAAGGUUGGCCUUCAUCCGGAAGAUUGUCAGAGACCACAAGACAAAAGACCUUUUUUGUGGGGUCCUAGGUCGGAGGUGUAAGGGCAAACAGCAUUUGAGUGCUUGCUUCAUUUGGCCCAGGUCUGCCUGCUUCCAGCCCCAGGCGCUUCCGGGUGCGGUCGGUCUGCCCCGGAUCGACCCCAGCACGGGAUCUGGAUAAAGCCAUGAAGAAGGAGCCAGGGUCCUGCCUGGCACGAGUAUUCAGUGGAGGGCCAGGCAGGACGGACCGGACCGGGCCGUGCCGGGCUGGGCGGGGUCGGGAUGUAGGAGCUACUUAGCAAACAUCAACACCUGUUAAGAGUUACACUCGAGAACAAAGCUGCAAAUUGGCUGGCGGACGCAAGCAACGAGAGAGACAGCUAUAUAAGGAGAGAGAGAACGAAAACGGGAACGGGACAGGGAGAGAGAGCUAUGACGAUGGAAAUUUUGCUGACCGCAGGCAAUGGCGAUGUUCCGGGCCAUGACGACGCCAUGGUAAUGGUAGCACAAAGCACGCCAAGGAAGGACGG